UUAAGCAUAUCAAUAAGCGGAGGAAAAGAAACCAACAGGGAUUGCCCCAGUAACGGCGAGUGAAGCGGCAACAGCUCAAAUUUGAAAUCUGGCCCUUUUGGGUCCGAGUUGUAAUUUGUAGAGGAUGCUUUUGGCAAGGUGCCGCCCGAGUUCCCUGGAACGGGACGCCACAGAGGGUGAGAGCCCCGUCUGGCUGGCCACCGAGCCUCUGUAAAGCUCCUUCGACGAGUCGAGUAGUUUGGGAAUGCUGCUCAAAAUGGGAGGUAUAUGUCUUCUAAAGCUAAAUAUUGGCCAGAGACCGAUAGCGCACAAGUAGAGUGAUCGAAAGAUGAAAAGCACCUUGAAAAGAGGGUUAAAUAGUACGUGAAAUUGUUGAAAGGGAAGCGCUUGUGACCAGACUUGGGCGCGGCGGAUCAUCCGGGGUUCUCCCCGGUGCACUUCGCCGUGUCCAGGCCAGCAUCAGUUCGUCGCGGGGGAAAAAGGCUUCGGGAACGUGGCUCCCCUGGGAGUGUUAUAGCCCGUUGCAUAAUACCCUGCGGUGGACUGAGGACCGCGCAUCUGCAAGGAUGCUGGCGUAAUGGUCACCAGCGACCCGUCUUGAAACACGGACCAAGGAGUCGUCUUCGUAUGCGAGUGUUCGGGUGUCAAACCCCUACGCGUAAUGAAAGUGAACGCAGGUGAGAGCUUCGGCGCAUCAUCGACCGAUCCUGAUGUUCUCGGAUGGAUUUGAGUAAGAGCAUACGGGGCCGGACCCGAAAGAAGGUGAACUAUGCCUGUAUAGGGUGAAGCCAAGUUGACUCUGGUGGAGGCUCGCAGCGGUUCUGACGUGCAAAUCGAUCGUCAAAUAUGGCAUGGGGCGAAAGACUAAUCGA
rnacentral:rRNA from 1 species